rnacentral:rRNA from 1 species
AGUGAACGCUGGCGGUAGGCCUAACACAUGCCAGUCGAACGGCAGCACAGUAAGAGCUUGCUCUUACGGGUGGCGAGUGGCGGACGGGUGAGGAAUACAUCGGAAUCUACUUUUUCGUGGGGGAUAACGUAGGGAAACUUACGCUAAUACCGCAUACGACCUACGGGUGAAAGCAGGGGAUCUUCGGACCUUGCGCGAUUGAAUGAGCCGAUGUCGGAUUAGCUAGUUGGCGGGGUAAAGGCCCACCAAGGCGACGAUCCGUAGCUGGUCUGAGAGGAUGAUAAGCCACACUGGAACUGAGACACAGUCCAAACUCCUACGGGAGGCAGCAGUGGAGAAUAUUGAACAAUGGGCGCAAGCCUGAUGCAGCCAUACCGCGUGAGUGAAGAAGGCCUUCGGGUUGUAAAGGCCUUUUGUUAGGAAAGAAAAGCAGCAGGUUAAUACCCCGCUGUUCUGACGGUACCCAAAGAAUAAGCACCGGCUAACUUCGUG